rnacentral:rRNA from 1 species
AGAGUUUGAUCCUGGCUCAGGAUGAACGCUGGCGGCGUGCUUAACACAUGCAAGUCGAGCGGUAAGGCCCCUUCGGGGGUACACGAGCGGCGAACGGGUGAGUAACACGUGGGGAACCUGCCCUCUUCUCUGGGAUAACUCCGGGAAACCGGAGCUAAUACCGGAUACUCCGGUCGGAUCGCAUGAUCUGAUCGGGAAAGCUCCGGCGGAAGAGGAUGGCCCCGCGGCCCAUUAGCUUGUUGGUGGGGUAAUGGCCCACCAAGGCGACGAUGGGUAGCCGAGCUGAGAGGCUGACCGGCCACACUGGGACUGAGACACGGUCCAGACUCCUACGGGAGGCAGCAGUGGGGAAUUUUGCGCAAUGGGCGAAAGCCUGACGCAGCAACGCCGCGUGAGUGAUGAAGGCUUUCGGGUCGUAAAGCUCUGUCAAUGGGAAAGAAGUGUAUUUUGGCUAAUAUCCUUAAUACUUGACGGUACCCAUAAAGGAAGCACCGGCUAACUCCGUGCCAGCAGCCGCGGUAAUACGGGGGGUGCAAGCGUUGUUCGGAAUUAUUGGGCGUAAAGCGCGUGUAGGCGGUCUGAUUAGUCUGAUGUGAAAGCCCUGGGCUCAACCCAGGAAGUGCAUUGGAUACUGUCAGACUUGAAUACGGGAGAGGGUAGUGGAAUUCCUAGUGUAGGAGUGAAAUCCGUAGAUAUUAGGAGGAACACCGGUGGCGAAGGCGGCUACCUGGACCGAUAUUGACGCUGAGACGCGAAAGCGUGGGUAGCAAACAGGAUUAGAUACCCUGGUAGUCC